rnacentral:misc_RNA from 1 species
CAAUGAGUGUUUAAUGGCACUUUAAAUCCAUUACCCACCUUGUGUGCACUGUAAGGAGGCGGCAGAACGGUUGCGCUCUGCCACUUUCAUUAUACAUAUACCAUCUUCUUUCUCGUCUACUUUAAUUGAGUAUAAAAACUCUAAUA